UCUGUGACUCUCAGCUAGCUACACAGAGAACAUCUGAAGUGAUGGUGAUUUCCACCGUGGAGUGAGAAUGAGGAGUUAAGCAGGUAUGUUCUCUGGUUCUCUGCUGUAUUUGCUGUGGUGGUGUAGCAGCUUUUGUUCACAAGCACUGCCAAUCAGGAUUGGGACCUGUGGCAUGGAGGAGGCAACAGGGGACACAGCCAGGACAGCUGACCCAGGCUGGCCAGAGGGAUGUCCCACACCAUGUGCCAUCAUGCUCAACAAUAAAACCUGGGGUAAAGGAGGAGGAAGAGGGGUAUGUUCCGGGUGAUGGUGUUUGUCUUCCCAAGAAGCCAUAUGUGUGACAAGCCCUGCUGUCCUGGAGGUGGCUGACACCUGCCUGCUGAUGGGAAAUAAAUAUUGGCAUGAUACAACAUUUGUGACGGACUUUCUCCACAAAUAACAAAUAUGUGGCUGCAGAUAUUACGUCUCUUAACCUUGUCUGUUCUUGUACCUGAGAGUCGCCACAACAGAUCAGUUGUUGCAUAGGAACGGCUGCUGACAUCCAACCCAUUUUCUUCACCCUAGUUACACGAUCACUAUCGCCCCAGAAGGGACUUAUCUGGUUCACUUGCUGGCGUAGCCGCUUAAAGAUUGAAGUCAUUAAUGCGUUGUGCCUCUGUCCUCUGCUACGCAUUUGGGGGAAAGGCCCAUCCUUGCUGUGCCAGUCUGGAGUAAAACUGUGCAGAAGAUACAGGCAUGCGGGAAUGAAAAGCCCCUGUGGGAAUGAAAAGCCACUGUAUUCUUAGAAAUGGAUGGUCUCUGGAAGUGGUGAAUGUCAGCGGUCAGUCAUCUCAGCCCACUUCAUAUGCCAGACGUGGGAGGAUACACCCACACUUGUUAGCUGCUAUAUAGGAAUAGGCUAAUUUAGCAUCACUUGACUGCUUUCUUUUAAACACUAUGAACACUGUGCUCUUUCUUUUUUUUUUUUCCUUUUUUUUUUUUUUUUUUUUUUCUCGGAGGGGAAUGCCAGACUUGACUAACAAAGACAAGAACAGACUAAAUGUUUCCUUAACAGGAAGCCACUAGCUCUCCGCUUUGCAAGUGGGGAGGGAAAGCCUUUAAAAUGCUUCGAACUUUCUUAAGCAAAUUUCAGUUAAACACAAGUAAAACUUUUGGGAGAACAUCCCUAGGAAAACCUAUUCCAUUGGAAACUGAGACCCUCAGUUGCUUCCCAAAUGCGAAUGUGGUCUCUCAGUAAUUAUAAAUGCACAGUACACAAAACUGUGCAGCACCACACAAAAAUAUAAGGGGGAGGAGGGAGGGAGAAGGAGGAAGAUUUCAUGUUUCCCAAGAAUUUGAGGUGUUGUUCCACAGUUUUCAUCUGGUCUGAUUUUGGCUUCAUCAUUUCUAAGAAAAGCACUAGAAGAGCUUUGAAGCAAAGUCAGGGCAUUAAAAGGCAAAGUAUCACACUCCCACUACAGGAACAUGACAAUUUCUCAGCUGAAGGCAUUUAUUACAGCUGUAGCCAGAAAACUAAUAUUUGAUUGGCUGCUCUAAAUAUCUACAUAUAUAAACACCAUUAUAAAAUUUACCAAGGAAAAUUCAAGGAUAUUUUCUAACUGCUUGUCUUUCUCACAUACACUAGGAAGACCAGUUCUAUCUUCACAUUUUUCUGUCUUGGACUUGGGACCUGUUUGUCUCCUUUCUUUGUGAUCUUGGUUGUGCUAGUCACAUCACGUAAAGAUAAGCACAUGUGAAGGGGCUGAGGCCUUAGUCAGUGGCAAGAUAUAAUCAGAGGGUAAAAGAGAAUAAGUGAUAAGUGAGAGAUGGGCCAUUGUUUGCAGAUAGUGUUCUCCUGCCCUCAUGUUAAAAAGAAGUCUUAACAGAUGGGGAGCACUUCAGGUGAAUUAAGAGGCACUGCAGCUUGUGUAAUGGUUUUCCUAGAAAAAUGAGUGUCAGUACCAAGCUCUCUUUCCUGGACCGCUGCCUGUCUCUCAAUGAGAGGCACAGAAAAUGGUUCAGAUGGCUUCCACUGGACUUGGUGGGACAGCUUGCAAAGGGACAAGUGUCUCGGUGUGUGUGUCAGGUUGUCUUAAAUCUGCACUGGCUGGCACAUACAGCCCAAGCUGAAGAUUGUGUCUGGCCUGGUGGCUGUCAGAGACCAGCCUGGGGCUGUGCUUUUACACAGGACAGCAUCUGGUGGUCCUAAGGAGGUGACACCACAGCUGAGGAUCAGGACAGCAGAGCUGUGUAGGCAUGUGCCUUCCCUUCACCUCCUUAGUGUGAGAGACCUGGGCUGUGGUCUUGGUUCUGCUGUGGCAUCUCUCUAACUCAGUUUCCUCCUCUGUCGAAUGAAAAUAAAGAAGCUGCUCUCCUCUGUCGACCCUCCCGAGCGCUGCGGAUGACAGCGGUACGCAAGGAAGAGGAAUUGUCAGGCAGCUUGAGGGCAGCACACAGCUCUGGCACGCCACGAUCGGCAGCGUGCUGGGUGCAGUGUUGUGCCGUGUUGUGUUACCAUGCGCUGGGGCGAGGAUCAAGCUGCGUAGAUGCAGUGACAGCUGUAGUCCUGCUCAGAUAAGGAGAGAAAUGGCCCGAGUUGCCUUGGCAACACUCGCUUUGCUUAUCUUCUUGAGUAAACGGCAACUUUUAUCCAUGCAGCUGACA